CCUACGGGCGGCAGCAGUGAGGAAUAUUGGUCAAUGGACGAGAGUCUGAACCAGCCAAGUAGCGUGAAGGAUGACUGCCCUAUGGGUUGUAAACUUCUUUUAUAUGGGAAUAAAAUGUUCCACGUGUGGGAUUUUGUAUGUACCAUAUGAAUAAGGAUCGGCUAACUCCGUGCCAGCAGCCGCGGUAAUACGGAGGAUCCGAGCGUUAUCCGGAUUUAUUGGGUUUAAAGGGAGCGUAGGUGGAUUGUUAAGUCAGUUGUGAAAGUUUGCGGCUCAACCGUAAAAUUGCAGAUGAAACUGGCAGUCUUGAGUACAGUAGAGGUGGGCGGAAUUCGUGGUGUAGCGGUGAAAUGCUUAGAUAUCACGAAGAACUCCGAUUGCGAAGGCAGUUCACUGGACUGCAACUGACACUGAGGCUCGAAAGUGUGGGUAUCAAACAGGAUUAGAUACCCUUGUAGUC
rnacentral:rRNA from 1 species